AACGCUAGCUACAGGCUUAACACAUGCAAGUCGAGGGGCAGCAUGGUCUUAGCUUGCUAAGGCCGAUGGCGACCGGCGCACGGGUGAGUAACACGUAUCCAACCUGCCGUCUACUCUUGGACAGCCUUCUGAAAGGAAGAUUAAUACAAGAUGGCAUCAUGAGUCCGCAUGUUCACAUGAUUAAAGGUAUUCCGGUAGACGAUGGGGAUGCGUUCCAUUAGAUAGUAGGCGGGGUAACGGCCCACCUAGUCUUCGAUGGAUAGGGGUUCUGAGAGGAAGGUCCCCCACAUUGGAACUGAGACACGGUCCAAACUCCUACGGGAGGCAGCAGUGAGGAAUAUUGGUCAAUGGGCGCAGGCCUGAACCAGCCAAGUAGCGUGAAGGAUGACUGCCCUAUGGGUUGUAAACUUCUUUUAUAAAGGAAUAAAGUCGGGUAUGGAUACCCGUUUGCAUGUACUUUAUGAAUAAGGAUCGGCUAACUCCGUGCCAGCAGCCGCGGUAAUACGGAGGAUCCGAGCGUUAUCCGGAUUUAUUGGGUUUAAAGGGAGCGUAGAUGGAUGUUUAAGUCAGUUGUGAAAGUUUGCGGCUCAACCGUAAAAUUGCAGUUGAUACUGGAUAUCUUGAGUGCAGUUGAGGCAGGCGGAAUUCGUGGUGUAGCGGUGAAAUGCUUAGAUAUCACGAAGAACUCCGAUUGCGAAGGCAGCCUGCUAAGCUGCAACUGACAUUGAGGCUCGAAAGUGUGGGUAUCAAACAGGAUUAGAUACCCUGGUAGUCCACACGGUAAACGAUGAAUACUCGCUGUUUGCGAUAUACGGCAAGCGGCCAAGCGAAAGCGUUAAGUAUUCCACCUGGGGAGUACGCCGGCAACGGUGAAACUCAAAGGAAUUGACGGGGGCCCGCACAAGCGGAGGAACAUGUGGUUUAAUUCGAUGAUACGCGAGGAACCUUACCCGGGCUUAAAUUGCAGAUGAAUUACGGUGAAAGCCGUAAGCCGCAAGGCAUCUGUGAAGGUGCUGCAUGGUUGUCGUCAGCUCGUGCCGUGAGGUGUCGGCUUAAGUGCCAUAACGAGCGCAACCCUUGUUGUCAGUUACUAACAGGUUCCGCUGAGGACUCUGACAAGACUGCCAUCGUAAGAUGUGAGGAAGGUGGGGAUGACGUCAAAUCAGCACGGCCCUUACGUCCGGGGCUACACACGUGUUACAAUGGGGGGUACAGAGGGCCGCUACCACGCGAGUGGAUGCCAAUCCCAAAAACCUCUCUCAGUUCGGACUGGAGUCUGCAACCCGACUCCACGAAGCUGGAUUCGCUAGUAAUCGCGCAUCAGCCACGGCGCGGUGAAUACGUUCCCGGGCCUUGUACACACCGCCCGUCAAGCCAUGGGAGCCGGGGGUACCUGAAGUGCGUAACCGCGAGGAGCGCCCUAGGGUAAAACUGGUGACUGGGGCUAAG
rnacentral:rRNA from 1 species